rnacentral:rRNA from 1 species
AACGAACGCUGGCGGCAUGCUUAACACAUGCAAGUCGAACGAGAUCUUCGGAUCUAGUGGCGCACGGGUGCGUAACGCGUGGGGAUCUACCAUAGGGUACGGAAUAACUCAGAGAAAUUU